AGGACGAACGCUGGCGGCACGCCUAACACAUGCAAGUCGAACGGAGAUAUUUGGUUACUGAGAUAUCUUAGUGGCGGACGGGUGAGUAACACGUGAGCAACCUGCCUUUGAGAGAGGGAUAGCUUCUGGAAACGGAUGGUAAUACCUCAUGACAUAUACGGGAGGCAUCUCUUGUAUAUCAAAGAUUUAUCACUCAAAAGAUGGGCUCGCGUCUGAUUAGAUAGUUGGUGAGGUAACGGCUCACCAAGUCGACGAUCAGUAGCCGGACUGAGAGGUUGAACGGCCACAUUGGGACUGAGACACGGCCCAGACUCCUACGGGAGGCAGCAGUGGGGAAUAUUGCACAAUGGGGGAAACCCUGAUGCAGCGAUGCCGCGUGGAGGAAGAAGGUUUUCGGAUUGUAAACUCCUGUCUUAAAGGACGAUAAUGACGGUACUUUAGGAGGAAGCUCCGACUAACUACGUGCCAGCCGCCGC
rnacentral:rRNA from 1 species